AUAUGUUGUGAAUGGUUUGCCCUAUAUAUAGUGUUACCUGCUGUGUCCAUUGUUGAAUCUAUUAUCGCCCUAUUUCGCUUUAUCUGCUUUUUAGUGUCCAGGACACAGAUGAAGAGGAUGUUAGUAUGCGUUGUCGAGAGGAACUGCCCUACAGUGACUGGCCAUAGUGAAUAGUGGAACUCCACAGAACUUGCUGGACCACCAGUAUCGUUGUUGUGGCCACUGUACGUAUGUUUGUUGAUAUUAUUCAUGCUUGUUCCUUGUUCAUGCUUGUUCACAUUUUUUUUGUUCCACACUGUUCAUUUUUAUCUUAUGCCAGGUACCUUUAUUAUGAAUGUUGUCCUUCCUUUCAGCCCUGAUGCAUUCUGAAGCCUGAUGUAUGUGGAGGAUUUCUUUUUAUGUAUUAAUCACUUAUAAUAUUCCUCCCUGUUCCUUCACUUUGUUCUUGUUUUUCCAGUUAGAUACACACACACACACAUCUUGUUGUCUCACUCAGUAUUUUUUAUUAAACAAUAUUUGAUUCAUUUA